UUCUGGAAAACACGUCGUGGUAGGAAGACCAUUUACCACAGUGAGGAGCUCAACAUAACAGGGAAAAGGAGCACAGGAUGCAGCUACUUCGAGGGUGUUGAUUGAAAACUUCGAUCUCCCCACCCCAUCAUUGAUGGUUGAUUUGACGGAUUUCUCACCUCUUUCACAGAGAAAAUUUCAAUUAAGGUAAGUGCUGCUUUAUCCGGGUGACUGCA
rnacentral:lncRNA from 1 species